rnacentral:rRNA from 1 species
UACGGAGGGGGCUAGCGUUGUUCGGAAUUACUGGGCGUAAAGCGCCCGUAGGCAGCUUUGCAAGUUAGAGGUGAAAGCCCGGGGCUCAACUCCGGAAUUGCCUUUAAAACUGCAUCGCUAGAAUUGUGGAGAGGUAAGUGGAAUUCCGAGUGUAGAGGUGAAAUUCGUAGAUAUCGAGAGGAACACCGGUGGCGAAGGCGGCCAACUGGACGAAUACUGACGCUGAGACUCGAAAGCGUGGGGAGCAAACAGG